rnacentral:rRNA from 1 species
GACGAACGCUGGCGGCGUGCUUAACACAUGCAAGUCGAACGGAAAGGCCCUGCUUGCGGGGUACUCGAGUGGCGAACGGGUGAGUAACACGUGGGUGAUCUGCCCUGCACUUCGGGAUAAGCCUGGGAAACUGGGUCUAAUACCGGAUAGAAGCCAUCCUUAGUGUGGUGGUUGGAAAGUUUUUUCGGUGUAGGAUGAGCUCGCGGCCUAUCUGCUUGUUGGUGGGGUAAUGGCCUACCAAGGCGGCGACGGGUGGCCGGCCUGAGAGGGUGUAAGGCCCCAUUGGGGGUGAGAGACGGCCCAGACUCUCACGGGAGGCAGAAGUGGGGGAUAUUGCGCAAUGGGGGCAAGCCUGAUGCAGAGCAGCCGCGUGGGGGAGGAAGGCCUUCGGGUUGUAAACUCCUUUCGCUAGGGACGAAGCGUUUGUGUGACGGUACCUAGUUAAGAAGCACCGGCUAACUACGUG